rnacentral:lncRNA from 1 species
CUUCGUCUCUGGUAACGUUUUUUCUCAGUGCCUUCGGGGGGUGUUGAAGUCUUUACGGGACGCCUCGAGAUAGUGUAGAUAGUGUAGUUGCGAAUAAAAAGCAGACACACCCCGGCGAGAAAGCUGAGACAACCGUCUGCACAGUCCUCCUCGCUUCUACACUUCUCCUUUUUUGGUGCGGUAAAGGACGCUGGCUCUCGAGAGUGUGUCUGUGGAGGAAGGUGCAAGUGAGGCCGAGUGGUAUGGUCCUUGAAAGUCGCAGCCGUUGUUAGCAGAGAUCGCCUGGUUCGUACACACCUGUCGGAGGUCUGCAAAUCGCCAACGCGGCAGUUCCCCCCUUCUCCGCAUUCGUUUCUCGGGGAGAGAACGACAUUACUCAGAGUCACCGUGUGCAGCUCUCAUUGAAUAGAGGAGAAUCUUUCGAACAUCCAUGUGUGACACCGCAGAGAGAGUGAACGCUUUACAGAGCGACCUGCGAGAUCCCUCGUAGAAGACGGAGGACUUCAGCAGCCCCACACC